rnacentral:rRNA from 1 species
GACGAACGCUGGCGGCGUGCUUAAAACAUGCAAGUCGAACGGACUUCUCAUGAAGCUUGCGAUUGAGAAGUUAGUGGCGGACGGGUGAGUAACGCGUGGGCAACCUGCCCCUGAGCCCGGGAUAACAGUUCGAAAGGACUGCUAAGACCGGAUAUACUUGCGGUGAAGCAUUUCACUGCAAGGAAAGGGAACGCUCAGGGAUGGGCCCGCGUCCCAUUAGCUAGUUGGUGAGGUAACGGCCCACCAAGGCGACGAUGGGUAGCCGGCCUGAGAGGGUGAACGGCCACACUGGGACUGAGACACGGCCCAGACUCCGUACGGGAGGCAGCAGUUGGGAAUCUUCGGCAAUGGGCGCAAGCCUGACCGAGCAACGCCGCGUGAGUGAUGAAGGUUUUCGGAUUGUAAAGCUCUGUCUUCCGGGACGAUAAUGACGGUACCGGAGGAGGAAGCCACGGCUAACUACGUGCCAGCAGCCGCGGUAAGCAUACUCGUA